AGAAAGGUGGCUCAGCGGUUAAGAGCACUGAAUGAUGAUGUUCCAGAGGACCUGGGUUCAAUUCCCAGAAUUCCCA
rfam:Neotoma lepida isolate 417 scaffold_301, whole genome shotgun sequence.